rnacentral:rRNA from 1 species
AACGAACGCUGGCGGCGUGCCUAACACAUGCAAGUCGAACGAGAAAGGGGCUUCGGCUCCGAGUAAAGUGGCGCACGGGUGAGUAACACGUAGGUAACCUGCCUCUAAGAUUGGGAUAACAUGUCGAAAGACGUGCUAAUACCGAAUAAGACCACGGCUUCCUCGGAAGCAGGGGUCAAAGAUAGCCUCUACUUGUAAGCUAUCACUUAGAGAUGGGCCUGCGUACCAUUAGCAGUUGGUAGGUAAUGCCUACCAAGGCAAAGAUGUUAGCUGGUCUGAGAGGAUGAUCAGCCACACUGGAACUGAGACACGGUCCAGACUCCUGCGGAGGCAGCAGUGGGAAUAUUGCGCAAAUGGGCGAAAGCCUGACGCAGCAACGCCGCGUGAGUG